rnacentral:lncRNA from 1 species
CAGACAACAGAACUUGAAUUUGUUUUCGUAUUUGAAUAAGAGCAAUAACUAAGAAUGUUGAAGCGCAAUUCCAAGCGUCACGAAUUCAAUCCAAGAGAUGAGCCAUAUUGUUAAUUGUUGAAGGAAAAGUUAUGCAAGAGCGAAAUCGCAGGCUAUUGUUUUUCUCUAUACCCUACUGGAGAACGAUGUGUUAACAUUCUAGCUGCUCAGAAUUCUCCAAUUUCGUGUUAGCGCAACAAGGACCAUUUCACAUGUGGUUUCACAUAUGGCUUCCUUCUUGUAAUGUAUUGGAAUUGAGAACAGGCAAUUGCUAAAUAAAGAAGACUUCGCGUGAUUAACUGUACUCUCA